rfam:Yarrowia lipolytica strain CLIB122 chromosome C complete sequence.
GGCAACCUGGCCGAGUGGUCUAAGGCGCCAGGUUCAGGAGACUGAAUCAAUAUCCUGGUCUCUUCGGAGGCGAGAGUUCGAAUCUCUCGGUUGUCA